rnacentral:misc_RNA from 1 species
GUAAGAUUAUAAAUUAGGACAAGUACACUUGGAUACCAGCCGUUUUGAUCAACUGACAGACAGGACAGACAUUUACAAGUCCAUCGCAAUCUUUACAUAAACAUAAAUGUCUACAAGGCAUAAGUAGGAUGGAAACCUCUUUUGCCUUGCAUGCUCUGCAAAUCAUGUGCUCCUUGAAACCUGGUAAAUUGCUGGUCGAAGAUUUUAUAGUCCCACCUGGAACACUUAGGUAAUUGUUUGGAUCAAUGUUUGAGGCAGCAUCAUCCACUUCACUAUCUCCAAACCCUUCCUUCACUUGGUCAGCACCCUGCGAGAUAGCAUGCUGAAGAUUGUUUUUCAGUACAUUUACGACUGACUCAUUGUACUUUGCUCUGCAAUGCCAAUUUUGAGCUUCAGUGGCAACAUGCUUUAUUCUCUCCACUAGUUCUCUGUUUUUACGGUUCAUGCUCUCAAUUUCAACAUCCUUUUCAUGCAGUUUCUUUCCGAUACCUUUCUCAAUCGCACUAAGAAAGGAAGCCAUAUGUCUUUGCUUCAUGUCCCUAAUACCCUUUGCCAAAUGUUCUUCCUGAAGUUUAAUAUAUUGAUCAAAUUCUUCCUUUUGUCUAUCAAUCUCAGUCCUGAUAUUAUCACCAAGUGAAAAAAUGAUGGAAGGUGCAGCUGUCAUACUUCCACUUGCGGUGGUAACAGAGGAGUUGUGUUCAUCAUCAUCAUACGAUAGCCUUAAACCUGUUGAUACGGCAUUUGGGUUUCU